rnacentral:tRNA from 1 species
GCCGGUAUAGCUCAGAAGGUAGAGCAGCGCAUUCGUAAUGCGAAGGUCGGUGGUUCGAUUCCUCUUGCCGGCACCA